rnacentral:misc_RNA from 1 species
GAUGAAGAACGCAGCAAAAUGCGAUACUUGGUGUGAAUUGCAGAAUCCCGUGAACCAUCGAGUUUUUGAACGCAAGUUGCGCCCGAAGCCUUUUGGCCGAGGGCACGUCUGCCUGGGCGUCACGCAUCGCGUCGCCCCCCACAAUUCUCCGUAAAGGGAACAUGUGUUUUGGGGGCGGAUAUUGGUCUCCCGUGCUCAUGGCGUGGUUGGCCGAAAUAGGAGCCCUUUCGAUGGACGCACGAACUAGUGGUGGUCGUAAAAACCCUCGUCUUUUGUUUCGUGCUGUUGCUCGCAAGGUAAACUCUUUAAAAACCCCAAUGUGUCGUCUCUUGACGACGCUUCGACCGCGACCCCAGGUCAGGCGGGACUACCCGCUGAGUUUAAGCAUAUCAAUAAGCGGAGGA